rnacentral:rRNA from 1 species
UGCCAAGUCGAGCGAAUGGAUUAAGAGCUUGCUUCUUAUGAAGUUAGCGGCGGACGGGUGAGUAACACGUGGGUAACCUGCCCAUAAGACUGGGAUAACUCCGGGAAACCGGGGCUAAUACCGGAUAACAUUUUGAACCGCAUGGUUCGAAAUUGAAAGGCGGCUUCGGCUGUCACUUAUGGAUGGACCCGCGUCGCAUUAGCUAGUUGGUGAGGUAACGGCUCACCAAGGCAACGAUGCGUAGCCGACCUGAGAGGGUGAUCGGCCACACUGGGACUGAGACACGGCCCAGACUCCUACGGGAGGCAGCAGUAGGGAAUCUUCCGCAAUGGACGAAAGUCUGACGGAGCAACGCCGCGUGAGUGAUGAAGGCUUUCGGGUCGUAAAACUCUGUUGUUAGGGAAGAACAAGUGCUAGUUGAAUAAGCUGGCACCUUGACGGUACCUAACCAGAAAGCCACCGGCUAACUACGUGCCAGCAGCCGCGGUAAUAACGUAGGUGGCAAGCGUUAUCCGGAAUUAUUGGGCGUAAAGCGCGCGCAGGUGGUUUCUUUAAGUCUGAUG